AGUCACACAAGUUGUAAAAAAAAAUUUUUUAUCUGAAUAAUUUUAACAUUCAUUAAAAAAAAAGAGUGUGAUUUGAACUUCUAAUGAAAAUAAAAAUUCGUUUGAACAGUAUAUAUAUUAUGUGAUUUGAACUUCUAAUGAUGCUGUAACGUUACUAGUACAAACCACUAGACUACAAGUUCAUUGUCCUUGCCUCCUUGGGUCAAUCUCGAAAAGAAUUUUUAGGGGUUGGUAUUGGAUUCGGGAAUUUGAAAGAAUUCACAAGUAAUAACUUUUGUAGUAUUUUAAAAGAUUUUAUGAGAUUUUAACGCAAUUGACUAAUUCUUAUGUUUUCUUUUUACCAUGGAAUUUAAAAGAAUGUAAAUAAAUUUGAUGGAAUACAAGUGAUAAUACAUUAACGCUAUGAACUAAUGAUAACAACAAAAUACAAAACUAGUAGCUAACUCUUGGGAAAUUUUUUUACCAAAAAAAAAUCUUUUGGGAAAAUUUUACCUUUUGUAGAUAGAUUUUUUUUUGCUUUGAGAAGUGAUAGAUACAUGAUAAUAUAUAUAGGAGAAGUAAUCUAAAAAAGUUUAUACAAAAGAUAGAUAAGAACUAGUUUAUAGUUGUUUUAUGAUUGUGCUUGAUUGAAAUUUAUAGGAGAGAAUCAAACAAAAUGCUUUUUUAGUUUUAAGUUGUUGUCUAAUUUUAUCAUUGAUGGUUUCCAUAUUUCAGGUUUUCAGAGAGACCAAGUGCUAAUGAGAUUCUAAGAGCAACCUUAUUGGGUGAACCCCAUAAAAGGUUCUCAUUCCUUAUACUUUCACUAUUGUAAUACAAUUUUUUUUAUUUAAUUAAAUUUGUUUUCUUUUAAAGGUAAAGAUCAAUAAUAAGAUGACAUUUGGAAAACUGAUAUGUUAAAAUGUUGAAAUCAGAUCUCUGCAUAGAUAUUGUAUUUUUCUCUCUCCAGACACUUUCUAUUGUUUAUAAUUGAUAUUUGUUGUGAUACUCACGUUCAUCCUCCAAUGGAGGUGUUCUAAGAGCAUCAGCAUCAAUAGUAUGGGGAAGAGAUAGUUAAUUGUACAAAAGAAGAGAGAGGGAUAAAAGCAAGUGAGAUGGGGAGGGACUGCUCUUCAUCAAGAAACAUUCUGGAAACUAUGAGAGAUUUUUUUUGAUACAUGUCAUGACAUAAUAAAAUAUGUUUUUUAUUUAAAUUUUAAUGAAAAUACAAAAUUAUACUAUUAUUUUAUGUCUACGGUAUUCGUUGAGAAACUAAACCACUGCCGAUGCUCUAAGGUUUUUUUUUCUUCUUUUUUAUUUUAUAUUUCCUUGCUCUUCAUCUUUGAAUAGAUAAAUCUGCAGUUGUUGCUUAUCUGGUGGCGCUGCUAGAAUUUCUCCAGCAUUCUUCUUCGACACAGACGAUGGAAGGUCAUGAAAGGGUCUCGACGGAGCUGCCUUUAGCUGGACCUGUUCUCUUUCCAGGAACCUCGCUUUUGUGGCUCUCUUUUUGAGCUUCUCACUCAUAGUCCUUUUCCGGUGUGCUCAGCUCCUCCCCCCCAUGGUGGUUGUUUCUCGGUUGGAUCCCCGUCUUUAGUUCUUUGAGUUUGGAGCUCUCUCGGCAACGACAUAGGUGGUGGCAAUGUCGUUUAAUGUCUAGAAUUUCAGCUUUUUGGCUCUUUUGUAGCAGAUUGGCUGGUUAAUCUUUAUGUUUUAUACCGUUGUAAUUCAUCAAUUCUAUUAAAACUAAAGUACAUUUUAGAAACAA